rnacentral:miRNA from 1 species
GGCAAGGACAGCAAAGGGGACC